ACGAACGCUGGUGGCGUGCUUAACACAUGCAAGUCGAACGGAAAGGCCCCUUUGGGGGUACUCGAGUGGCGAACGGGUGAGUAACACGUGAGUAACCUGCCCUUGACUUCGGGAUAACUUCAGGAAACUGGGGCUAAUACCGGAUAGGAAUCCUUGCUGCAUGGUGGGGGUUGGAAAGCUUCGGCGGUUUUGGAUGGACUCGCGGCUUAUCAGCUUGUUGGUGGGGUAGUGGCUUACCAAGGCUUUGACGGGUAGCCGGCCUGAGAGGGCGACCGGCCACAUUGGGACUGAGAUACGGCCCAGACUCCUACGGGAGGCAGCAGUGGGGAAUAUUGCACAAUGGGCGGAAGCCUGAUGCAGCAACGCCGCGUGCGGGAUGACGGCCUUCGGGUUGUAAACCGCUUUCAGCAGGGGCGAAGCUUGUGGUGACGGUACCUGCAGAAGAAGCACCGGCUAACUACGUG
rnacentral:rRNA from 1 species